UAGGGAAUCUUCCACAAUGGACGCAAGUCUGAUGGAGCAACGGCCGCGUGAGUGAAGAAGGCUUUCGGGUCGUAAAACUCUGUUAUUGAAGAAGAACGUGCGUGACAGUAACUGGUCAUGCAGUGACGGUAUUCAAUCAGAAAGUCACGGCUAACUACGUGCCAGCAGCCGCGGUAAUACGUAGGUGGCAAGCGUUGUCCGGAUUUAUUGGGCGUAAAGCGAGUGCAGGCGGUCUUUUAAGUCUGAUGUGAAAGCCUUCGGCUUAACCGAAGAAGGGCAUCGGAAACUGGGAGACUUGAGUGCAGAAGNAGGAGAGUGG
rnacentral:rRNA from 1 species